rnacentral:rRNA from 1 species
GCCUACGGGGGGCAGCAGUGAGGAAUAUUGGUCAAUGGCCGGAAGGCUGAACCAGCCAAGCCGCGUGAAGGACGAAGGUGCCAAGCAUUGUAAACUUCUUUUGUCAAGGGACAAAAUCAGGCUCGAGAGCCUGACCGAGGGUACUUGAGGAAAAAGCAUCGGCUAACUCCGUGCCAGCAGCCGCGGUAAUACGGAGGAUGCGAGCGUUAUCCGGAUUUAUUGGGUUUAAAGGGUGCGUAGGCGGACUGUUAAGUCAGCGGUAAAAGCCCGGGGCUCAACCCCGACGAGCCGUUGAAACUGGCUGG